rnacentral:lncRNA from 1 species
AUGUUCUCAACUCAUCCAAUUUCAUUGUGGGACCAAAAUUUGCUCUGUGGGACUCCACUAUCUGUUUCUCUGGUUUCUUUUCCCCUGCCCCCUCCCACCCCCAACCUCCUCAGCAUACCUCCCUAUUUUUCUAGCCUUUCUUCUCACAGGCAUGGAUGGUACACAUAUGGUAAUACUCCUCUCUUUUGUGGAGCUGGAAGACCUCUGACAGAUAAGUGAGGAUCAUUCAGUCUCCUUGGAGAUGAAAAAAGACAGUGCUGCAGAAGAGAGAAGCUGACAUUUUCCAGCACCUUCGUGUACCUUCACCCAAGUGACUGCUCAUCCCUUUGGCACGGGGAGCUCAGAAAGACCCCAAAGUGAGUAGGUCUUUCCUUUUGCAGUGUUAAAAAAUAAGGCAAACUGCAAAAAUGAAUCGUUAAAUUGUGGCUUUGGCAGCCACAGCAAGAGAUAGCACUGGGUUUUGCUGCUCCCGGAGUAGGUCUGGAGUGAACUAUUACAUGGAGCCAUUCUUUUGGGAGAAUAGGAGGAGGGUGGAGUAACCUAUGUCAACCUUGAACUCUGUUCCUUCAUCCCCUCUGCAGUGUCACCCCUCUGAUCAUGCAGCUGUGGUCUGUCCAAGCUCUUCAUUGUGCCACACUGAUACCCUUGAUCGCUAUAUCAAAGAAUUUAAAGGAAAACCUGUUUUUGUGUAGAGGCAUCUUUGCUGGUUGUCAUCACUUUAGCCUCUUUUAUAGAACUGUGUGUUACAGGCCAGCGUAGUAUUCAUGAACUUCUGACCAACUUUUCCAGUCCUGUAAAAAGACUGAAAUCUAAGGUUUGGGACUCUAUUUUGCUGAUAUACCUGUACUCAAGGAUAGUUCUCUUGAUGUGUGGCUGUUAGUGCAAGUGAGGCAAGAUGUGGUUAUGAGGUAUUUUUCUGGACAAAUAAGCUUAAAAAUGGUUUAUUAACUUUAAGUAAGGUUGUUGCCAUUUGCUGCUGUACUGUAGAGCGGUCUCUGUUGAUUUACUAUUUGAAUCAGGAACUGAACUGCAUAGCAGGCUUUGAAAAUUGUGGUGUUGUCAUCUCACUUUGCUGCUCUUAAGAGGAAAGCAAGUUUGUAAUCACUGCAGAAGCAAUGAACAAUAAACCCAUGGCACAGAAUACUGCGCUAUCA